rnacentral:lncRNA from 1 species
UUCUAACUAGUAGGGGUGAGCAUUCGGAUAAUAACCGAACCGAAUAAGAAGUUUGGUUAUACCCGAAAAUCGAAAUUACCCUGCGAACAAUUAACCGAAAUAUGUAAUAACCGAAUAGGUUAUUCGGUUAUUCGGUUAAUAACCGAAUUUAAAAGACUUGACAUUUAACAAUUAACAGCAAUACAGUGAAUUGAACAAGUACUAUUCAACUACAUUAUGUAGCCUACAUAUUACAAAUUAAAGACUCAGUUAGCAGCAACAACACAAUGUUCCUACAUGAUUAACACCAUAAACAUAAUCCAUAAACAUAAUGGAAAACUUAAUUUGGCUAGCCCAAAAUGCUUGAAGCUGUUGUUGACCAUUUGCUGCUGCUGUUGUUGAGUUUGACCUGCACCUCCUACCACUUGCUGCUGCUGCUGUUGCUGUUGAGUUUGUUGUUGUUGAGUUUGUCUUUACUGUCGAAAACAAAGAAAGAUUCAAACUCGAUUCCAAAAGAUAUAUAGUAUUAUUUCAGCUAAUUGCUCCUUCAUAUCAAACAUGAGAAUUGAGGUCAAAGGGCAUCUAAGAACAACUGAAAGAAAAAGGACUGUACAAGCAUACCCCCUAUCAGUAUGAGCACUAAAUGGCUAAACCUGUCUCAUUUUCGCUGAAAAUCCUGCAGCUUGAAAUGAGAAACACUAGUAGGUAGGACUAGUAAGUUAUGUGCCAAAAUUGCCUUGAUAAUGUAACUGGCCAGCUGAGAAUUUGGAUAUGGUUUAAAGGCAACAACUGCUGCUAACCUGACUUCUCACAGUCACAGCCAUCGUAAGGCUUAAAAAAAUAGCAGUCUCUUUAUAAAAUUCAGACAGAAAAGAGGGAGGGAGCAUAGCAACAAUGCAACCAUAGCUUUGUUUUUUAUUAUUUCCUUCUAACAAUAUCAACAGUUCAAGUAAGGCUUAAAAAAAUAGCAGUCUCUUUACACAAUUCAGACAGAAAAAAUAGCAGUCUCACCCACAACUUCUUUCAAGCCAUUCCUCAAAUUCUCAUAGAAGGGAGAAGCAAACAAUAUUUGUAAUAAUUGUUUGAUAGAACUCACUCACCUGUUUCCAAAAGUAAGUAUAGCUUUUCCAGUUGAAGUAUCUUCUGUUUUAAAGUUCCUAAAAAAUAACUCACCUGUUUCCAAAAGUACAAGUAAUAAUUUAAUGUCAUCCAUAAUGAAUCAAUGCAGUGCAUAACAACAUUCCAGAACAAAGAUAAUUUAAUGUCAUCCAUAAUGAACCAAUAUAAGUGAUAGCUUUUCUAAUAUGGAUUAAAAAAAAAAUCAGUGGAGGCAAAAGAUCAUAUCCAAAAGAAAGUAUAGUGAGCAAAUCUAUGAAAUUAUGAUGUCUAAUCCAUGUUAUUCGGACAUCAACGCCUUCAUUAGUGUAUAUAUGUUGAUACAAAUAUUAAAAUAACCAUAAGUUAAUUAUCACAAACUCCAAUUUAUGGAACUCAGUCAAAUUAAAAAAUAUAUAAGUAUAUUCUAAUGUCAGAACUCACCACGAUUAAUUAAAUGAAAGAACAUGACAUCCAACAAUUUGAAUGUCUUCCAUUCUUACUAAAAAAUAAAAAUGAUGAAGCUAUUUGAUUUUCUGAUUCUCAUGACAACUGACACCAUUGGCAAGAUUCACAUCGAUCGGAACCAACAAUCUUUGAAAUUAUAAUCCUUCUAUUUUCCUAUCAAAUAUAUGUAGACACCCACCCACAAUAAAAGCAAUAAAAUCUCAUAAACCUUUCACUAUAAGAAAAAGGGUCAUUGGCGACGGGAAUAUUGGCGACGGCACAUUACCCAUCGAUAAUGACCUUAAUGCCGACUGGGAAGCCGUCGAGAAUGGGUACCGUCGAGAAUGCCAUUUCCCAUGGGAUAAUUUGGUGCGAAAAUUUGGCGGUGGAGGGAAAUUUCAUUGACGACGGACAAAUAGAUCAAAGGCGACGGUAACGUCGUCGAGAAAAACUCAAUACCGACGGGGUCAUUAUCGACGGGGUCCUAUUACAUUUAAAUAACAAAAUUACCUUAACAAAUGAAAAGUUGCCGCUGGCGCCGAGAUCUGAGAGUUCCAGAUGAAGGGCCGCCGGCGCCGGGAGUUCGAGAGUUCGAAACUUGAGACUUGAGGCUUGAGAGAUCUAAGAGACUGUGACUCUGAAAGUUCGAGAACUAGAAGACGAGACUUAGAGAUGAGAGAUCUGAUCUGAGGAGUAAAG